GAUGAACGCUAGCGGCAGGCCUAACACAUGCAAGUCGAGGGGCAGCACAUAAAGUGGUUUACUACUUUUGGUGGCGACCGGCGGACGGGUGCGUAACGCGUAUGCAACCUGCCUCCAACAGGGGGAUAACGGAGAGAAAUUUCCACUAAUACCCCAUAAUAUCAGAAUCGGCAUCGGUUUUGGUUGAAAACUCCGGUGGUUGGAGAUGGGCACGCGUUGUAUUAGAUAGUUGGUGAGGUAACGGCUCACCAAGUCAACGAUACAUAGGGGGACUGAGAGGUUAGCCCCCCCACACUGGUACUGAGACACGGACCAGACUCCUACGGGAGGCAGCAGUGAGGAAUAUUGGUCAAUGGGGGCAACCCUGAACCAGCCAUGCCGCGUGCAGGAAGACGGCUCUAUGAGUUGUAAACUGCUUUUACAAGGGGAUAAAUCGGUGUACGUGUACACCGUUGAAGGUACCUUGGGAAUAAGGAUCGGCUAACUCCGUGCCAGCCGCCGCCGUAA
rnacentral:rRNA from 1 species